GAUAAACCUGGAAGAGUACAACUACAAUUUCCAAUGACUUUGUCACUUCAAGGAUUUAAACAAAAAAUAAGAACAAUAAAAGCUCAUGAAACUCUCACCAUUUACCAUAAAGUUGACCUGGAAUGUUUCAAAGAAUCGAAUAAAGAAAAUCAAGUGGCUGAUAAAAUAAAAGAUAAAAAAUGCAGCAUUGGUAAAUUUAAAAUACUACUUAAGAGCGGGGACUUAAAACUUGGAGCACACGAUUCAUCUUAUCCAGGUCUUCAUUUCAGCCAUGAAGUUUCGAUUGAAAUUAACUUGGAUGAUGAUGUACCCUUCAUUGAUAUCAACUCCCUGACAGUAAAGGAAUAUUUUACUCGGG